UACGUAGGUGGCAAGCGUUGUCCGGAUUUACUGGGCGUAAAGGAUGCGUAGGCGGACAUUUAAGUCAGAUGUGAAAUACCCGAGCUUAACUUGGGUGCUGCAUUUGAAACUGGGUGUCUAGAGUGCAGGAGAGGUAAGUGGAAUUCCUAGUGUAGCGGUGAAAUGCGUAGACAUUAGGAAGAACACCAGUGGCGAAGGCGACUUACUGGACUGUAACUGACGCUGAGGCAUGAAAGCGUGGGGAGCAAACAGG
rnacentral:rRNA from 1 species